UACGGGAGGCAGCAGUGGGGAAUAUUGCACAAUGGACGAAAGUCUGAUGCAGCAAUGCCGCGUGUGUGAAGAAGGCCUUAGGGUUGUAAAGCACUUUCAGACGUGAGGAAAAGUAAUAAUUUAAUAAAUUAUUACC
rnacentral:rRNA from 1 species